UGGGGCUCUUUGCUGAGAUGGAGAAGCCUGGGAAGAGGAGGAUCAGGUUUAGAGGAUAACACAAGAUCUAAUUUCCUUUCUGGAAAGCAUUGUGAAGGCUGGAUUGGGGAAGACAGGCCCAGGCAGUAAGGGGCUGAGACAGUUGCUGGGUGAGAGAUGGUGACGAGGGAUGAGAGUGACUGAGGGCGGUGACUGGGAGGAAUGGAUGUCUCUGCUGGACAAGCAGACAUGGAGAAGAGCUUUCUGCCUCUCCAGAAGCUAUGGAUUCCUGUUUGCAAGGUGACCAAGCUGGCCAACCAGUGGGGGGAGAUCUUUAUGGAGAACAUUGAGGAGAAACCACCGUAUGGAGAAGAGUGGAGGAAAAGGCAGCAGCUGGUGGACACAGGACAUGGCCAGUCAACCCUGGACCCUGUUGGGACAUUCAUUCAUUCACUCAUUCAUUCAUGCCUGCAUGAAUUCAACACGACCAAACACCUACAAUGGCAGGCAGUGUCCCAAGUGCUAGAGACAAAAUGAGAUGAAGAAACUGAGACUUGGCUCCCAACCAACCUGAAAUCCUCACCCCACCACUUGCCCAAGGUGUUCAGCUAGGAAGUUUCACAGCCCAGCCCGAGAUGCUGUGGGCUGAGCGCCGGCCAGUGGCUGCCACUGUCAACGCCGUAUUUGGAAGAGUCCUGUCUAACAGGCCCCAGUAGUGGGCCUUCUGCCAUCCCCAGUCUGUAAUGGAAGCGAUGAGGAGACAGCAGGAGCCUCUGCAUGGGGUCCUGGGAGCUUCAGCGGCUCCCCCGUGCGCCCGCCCUGCCCCCAUCGUCGUCUCCUCUCUGUUCUGCUGCCUUGAGCCGGAGGGGAAGGGUUCCGCGGGUGAGGGAGCCUGGGGCCUCCUCGGCAGGAAGCUUCUCUCAUUGCCAGCGUUCUGCAGAGGCCGGCCCCCCACCCCACCUUCCCCACUCUCUCCUGGUCUUUGUUUCCGUUUCAGGCUGGGGUGGGAGGAUAAGGAGAGCAACGGCGCCAUCUGCUGGGCAUCUUGGGCCAGCGCCCGCUGCGCGCAGGAGUAACUCUGGGGACAGAAUCCCAUUUCAUCUAGUGGAAGGAAGCUCUCAGUGCCAACAAGGGCUGCCUGUUAUCUGUACCCUCAGGUGACAAAGCUUACUGAACAAAAUAACGAAGAGCCUUCUGUACCACCCCGGACUCGCUUCCUGGAAAUACACGUGUAACUACCACACAUCUUGACUAAUGGCUUCUCGACACGGUGCCCACUGUGUGGGUGCGGAACUAGCACCCAAAAGUCUGGUCCUCACAUCCAUGUCUCUGGACCCGAAAAUCACUAAAAAGGGAGGCAAAGGAGCAGAAAGACGACCCAGAUUGGAAGCGGAAAGGACUGCUGAGGGAAAGAGCUGAGAGUUGCCAGAUUGAGAGAGCAGCUCAGCCCUCUGGGAAGAUACCAAGUUUUUCCCCCCCAAAUGGAAGUUGGAAUGGAGAAACCACUGGCAUUUGUGUUGAAAAGUCCCAGAUUCAAGUUCUAACUCAGCCCUGGACCCGCUCUAGCUUCCCCUCCGUAAAAUGCACGAACCCCUAAUGAAUGGACGCUCAACUGAUUUCAGGGGCUGAAAAGGAAGAGGCGAUGAUAUUUGGGAAAAUGUUUCAUGUACACACGAGUGAUGAGGUUUAUGGAGAGGAAAGGUGGGGAGAUGGUGCAUGUUAUUACUCAUAGUUCUUUUGUUUGCAAGUGCAAACCAGCGUAGGCAAAAAAUGAAUCUUUUGGUUCAGAUGAUGGCAGACAGUAGUUACCAGAGCUAAUCACAAAUAUCCCAUUUCCCUUCCCUCUUGGUAUAUGGUAGGAUUGAAGUUACCUGUCCUCUUCUCUCUUUUGGUGCAACCAUGUGACUUGCAUGUCACUUUGCACAGUAGCUUCAAGAUCAAGGGUGCAGUCUGCCAUAUUCCCUCAGCCUGCCUUGAGGGGUUGGGGCACGUGUUGAG